UGAAAGUGCAGUCGGAUUCUCAAAGCACCGCAGUCUCUUCUCCUAAAUCCUUUUGAAUUCUGCUAUCCACUAUUCCUUAACCCUGCGACGUUUCACACAGAAGUCAAGGGAUAGACGAUAGGAGCUGAUUUUUGGACUAUUCGACUGCAACCUGACAGUCGAUGAGUUCCUAAAUACUUGUAAGAGUGAGCUAAAGCUUCCCAUCGGCCGCCUGAAUAAGGAAUUUCUGAUGGCCUGAGCUAAAGGUCAGCAGUGCUGAAGAAAUGCUGCAGUACGGAGAAACCAGGGCAGCAGAGUCUGUGUGGAUGAGAGAGAGAUAAGGACUGGAGGAAGUGGAGAGGACAAGGAGCAAGUGAGCAUUCUGCAUCACUGUGUGCUAGUGGCAUCAGAACCAGGAAGAACUGGGAGCUUAGUGUGAGUCUGUUACUAAGAGAAGGAUGCUAGCUGAGGUGGAGGGAUCUUGAAUCACCCUGAAAGUGUUUCUUUCUUCACUCAUCGGCUUGCUGCACAUUAUCCCACUUAUUACAUGGGACGGAGCUGCCAUCCAUGGAGGACCUU